GAUGAACGCUGGCGGCGUGCCUAAUACAUGCAAGUCGAGCGAAUGGAUUAAGAGCUUGCUCUUAUGAAGUUAGCGGCGGACGGGUGAGUAACACGUGGGUAACCUGCCCAUAAGACUGGGAUAACUCCGGGAAACCGGGGCUAAUACCGGAUAACAUUUUGAACCGCAUGGUUCGAAAUUGAGAGGCGGCUUCGGCUGUCACUUAUGGAUGGACCCGCGUCGCAUUAGCUAGUUGGUGAGGUAACGGCUCACCAAGGCAACGAUGCGUAGCCGACCUGAGAGGGUGAUGGGCCACACUCGGACUGAGACACGGCCCAGACUACUACGGGAGGCAGCAGUAGGGAAUCUUCCUCGAUGGACGAAAGUCUGACGGAGCAACGGCGCGUGAGUGAUGAAGGCUUUCGGGUCGUAAAACUCUGUUGUUAGGGAAGAACAAGUGCUAGUUGAAUAAGCUGACACCUUGACGGUACCUAACCAGAAAGCCACGGCUAACUACGUGCCAGCCGCCGCCGUAA
rnacentral:rRNA from 1 species